UUGUGAAUUGUUAUUAAUAUUAAUUUAGUCCUUAUGAAUAAUGAAGUCAUGUUAAAAAAGGUCAGUUUUUAAUUUUUUUUAUUCCAAUUCUGCCCUUCAAAGCCAAUUCUCUCUCUAUCUUCUUCUCCUCCUCCUCCACGCAGACACAGACCUCGAGAGAGAGAGAGUGUGAAUGGCGAAGAACAACGCGUCACUCCUAGCUCUAAAAUGUGUUCGUCCUCGACGCCUCGUUACGCCUUGUUCAGCGCGGCGGCGGCCGAGUAGGAGGAGAAAGGGGGAGGCUAGGUUAGGAUUUGAGUUUGGGGAGUUAUCUGCUCCAAAUCGGUGACAAUGGGGCCCAGGCUCGGCUCCGGCGACGUGUCCGGCUUCAAGUUCCUUCUCAGAGGCUCGACCCGUCGAGCACGUUCGAGUCCUAGCCAAUGUUAUCGAUAGCCGCCAUGUGAAUUCUUGGUGAAACUUGUUGUUCUUUGUCGGUUCAAUCUCAUUUUGAUGCCAUUUGAUAAAAUGCAGAAAAGUGAACAGUAAAGCUCAAUUGAGUUUCUGGCUGAGCAGAUUCUUAAUGAGGAGUUGCCGGGUGGAUCUUCUUGGACAUUGGAUGUGUUCACUGAAGCAUUUGUUGGAAAGUUGAAGUCAUAUCCUUUGAGUUAGCUUGUGGAUCUUCUUUUUGAUUCCUAGCUUCACCAUAGUGAUCUCUGCCUGAGGCCUUACUAGAGUGAUCCCUUGGUUUUCAUGGCGGUUGUGAUUGUUAUGCAGUCAUCUGCCGCUGUGCUGGAUAGGCAAUGCUUGCAAAUGAUAAAGCAACUUGCUAGAAUUCAUUGCUGAUACGUACCGACUUAUAUCAGGUAUGAUGAUGCUUGGAAGGUAUAUGAGACGAUGGAAGCAAAUAAUACCCUUCCUGAUCAUGUGAUGUGUUCGAUAAUGAUUACUAUCAUGAGGAAAUUUGGUCGCAGUGCAAAAGAUGCAUGGGACUUCUUUGAAAAAAUAAACAGGAAAGGUGUCAAAUGGAGUCAGGAAGUUUUGGGUGCUCUUAUAAAAUCAUUUUGUGAUGAGGAGCUGAAGAGUGAAGCCCUUAUCAUUCAAAUUGAAAUGGAGAAGAAAGGGAUCUCAUCGAGAUAGACUUGGUGGCCGGAUUCAUAUGGGAGCAUCAUGGUGAAACGUAAGAAUGCACUGGAUUUUUGUCAAGAAGUGUGGCAUCCCCUCAGCUUUCAUGGUUUGAAGCACAUAUAUGUCAUCAGAAUGGAUACUAGUUGGUUUAAAACAAUGUAUCAUAGAGUCAAAGUGUCAAACCUAUGUUUCUGAUGAUGUGGACAUGUCAUAAUUUAUAGGAUGUGAGCUGAGUAGUUGUUUAGAAUCAUGUGUAAUGUGGCUGGAGCUUGAAGAUAAUAAACUCUCUCUUCAACAUAUUUCAUUUCUUUUUGUCUGGAAAUUUCUAAUGUAUUCAUCAGGUUAUUUUUCUUUUUU